rnacentral:rRNA from 1 species
UACGGGAGGCAGCAGUGGGGAAUAUUGCACAAUGGGCGAAAGCCUGAUGCAGCUAUGCCGCGUGUAUGAAGAAGGCCUUAGGGUUGUAAAGUACUUUUCAUCGGGGAGGAAAAAACAAAACUAAAUAAUUUUAAUUUUCUUUGACGUUACCCGAAAAAGAAAGCACCGGCUAACUCCGUGCCAGCAGCCGCGGUGAUACGGAGGGUGCUAGCGUUAAUCAGAAUUACUGGGCGUAAAGAAGCACGUAGGUGGUUUUUUUAAGUUCAGAUGUGAAAUCCCUGGGCUUAACCUAGGAACUGCAUUUUGAAACUGAAAUACUAGAGUAUCGUAGAGGGAGGUAGAAUUCUAGGUGUAGCGGUGAAAUGCGUAGAUAUCUGGAGGAAUACCUGUGGCGAAAGCGGCCUCCUAAACGAAUACUGACACUGAGGUGCGAAAGCGUGGGGAGC